rnacentral:lncRNA from 1 species
CAAAAAGUCUUUUCACCAUAACAUGGGCAAAGAUAAAUAAGAAAAAGAAGAAGAAAAACGAUUCUGGUUUUUCUUCCCUUUACUUGUUCCUAGGGAACAUGUUAUUCUUGCACCAUUAAUGUCCACCCAGAGCUAUCAGGUAGCAAGGACUUGCUUCCAAGCUUCAGAGUACAGGAAAGGAAGACUCUAAAGCAGCAAAACUCCAGUCUCCAAUCCCUUCAAGAGGCUUGGUUAAUAUUUAAAUAUUUACUUGUUUACUUUGUUUAAACAUUCCUCUUUAUCCAAUGAGUGUACACAUAAAAAUGAGUUUUCUUUGCUAUCAAACAUGCUCAGCAAGGGAAACAAAAUGGAUACAAACUGUAGGAAAAAAUAUCAAAGAGACCUAGCCCAGUAUGUUUAACAAUGCAUUCUUAAAAAAAAAAAAAAAAAAAAAAAAAAAACUUGCCUCCAUACACACUGAAACACAAAGGAAAUAUAACACACUGAGUCAUUUCUGCUUUUGAUCCCAGUUCUUAGAGUCAAGAAAUCAGACUACAGAAGAAAGCCUGCUCAAAGCCUAACUUCAAAUCACACAAGAGCAGCCCAUGUGUGACAUUGCCCUUCUCUCACCUUAGGCUCUUCUGCAAGGUCACCUGUAACCCUCCAGCCCACCUACCGGAUGGUAGCUGGGGUUGAGGGGUUGUGGAUGGCAACACUGGGCGACUCCAGCAUCUUCAUGGUGAGCUGCUGGGGAAAGGCACUUACAAAGAGAGCGCGGAUUGUGUCUGCGCUUGUGAUUUCAUUCGGCAUCCGCAGUUGUUUGGUUUCGUCUCCAUACUGGAGGUAGAGAACACCUGCAUGUAAAGGAACACACAAUUAUCAG